CUCGGAGCCGAUGGCCGACCCGCCGCCGCUUGGUGGAAAACCAAUGCUCUGAGGGUUGGGAAUAGGAAUGAGAAGAAAACACGCAAUGGGAGGCACAGUUAAGGUGUGGACUUUGGCUCUGAAGGACAGUGACCUCAAUGGGAAAGAAGACAAUGAUGAAUGAGGGGAAGGAGGAGCUCAAGCUGCCCUGGUGCUGGAGGACAAGCUCUCUCUGACUUCAGGAAAGAUGUUGAAGGUAGACGGCAUCUUCCAACUUCCGGAGCUUCCAGGGACAUUAAAUUUAUUUAUGUUUAAAUAAAUAUUUAC
rnacentral:lncRNA from 1 species